UACGGAGGGAGCUAGCGUUGUUCGGAAUUACUGGGCGUAAAGCGCGCGUAGGCGGCUUUGUAAGUUAGAGGUGAAAGCCCGGAGCUCAACUCCGGAAUUGCCUUUAAGACUGCAUCGCUUGAAUCCAGGAGAGGUGAGUGGAAUUCCGAGUGUAGAGGUGAAAUUCGUAGAUAUUCGGAGGAACACCAGUGGCGAAGGCGGCUCACUGGACUGGUAUUGACGCUGAGGUGCGAAAGCGUGGGGAGCAAACAGG
rnacentral:rRNA from 1 species